rnacentral:rRNA from 1 species
AUUGAACGCUGGCGGCAUGCCUUACACAUGCAAGUCGAACGGCAGCACGGGUGCUUGCACCUGGUGGCGAGUGGCGAACGGGUGAGUAAUACAUCGGAACGUACCUUAUCGUGGGGGAUAACGCAGCGAAAGCUGUGCUAAUACCGCAUACGCCCUGAGGGGGAAAGCGGGGGAUCGCAAGACCUCGCGCGAUUAGAGCGGCCGAUGCCUGAUUAGCUUGUUGGUGGGGUAAAAGCCCACCAAGGCGACGAUCAGUAGCUGGUCUGAGAGGACGAUCAGCCACACUGGGACUAAGACACGGCCCAGACUCCUACGGGAGGCAGCAGUGGGGAAUUUUGGACAAUGGGGGCAACCCUGAUCCAGCAAUGCCGCGUGAGUGAAGAAGGCCUUCGGGUUGUAAAGCUCUUUUGUCAGGGAAGAAACACCGGCUCUAACACAGUCCGGGAAUGACGGUACCUGAAGAAUAAGCACCGGCUAACUACGUGCCAGCAGCCGCCGUAA